rnacentral:rRNA from 1 species
AUUGAACGCUGGCGGCAGGCCUAACACAUGCAAGUCGAGCGGAUGAAGGGAGCUUGCUCCUGGAUUCAGCGGCGGACGGGUGAGUAAUGCCUAGGAAUCUGCCUGGUAGUGGGGGAUAACGUCCGGAAACGGGCGCUAAUACCGCAUACGUCCUGAGGGAGAAAGUGGGGGAUCUUCGGACCUCACGCUAUCAGAUGAGCCUAGGUCGGAUUAGCUAGUUGGUGGGGUAAAGGCCUACCAAGGCGACGAUCCGUAACUGGUCUGAGAGGAUGAUCAGUCACACUGGAACUGAGACACGGUCCAGACUCCUACGAGAGGCAGCAGUGGGGAAUAUUGGACAAAGGGCGAAAGCCUGGUCCAGCCAUGCCGCGUGUGUGAAGAAGGUCUUCGGAUUGUAAAGCACUUUAAGUUGGGAGGAAGGGCAGUAAGUUAAUACCUUGCUGUUUUGACGUUACCAACAGAAUAAGCACCGGCUAACUUCGUG